rnacentral:rRNA from 1 species
GUGUACGGCCAUGCUACCCUGAACAAGGUGCCAUCUGAUCUCGGAAGCUAAGCUGGGUCGGGCCUGGUUAGUACUUGGAUGGGAGACCACCUGGGAAGACCAGGUGCUGCAGGUG